rnacentral:rRNA from 1 species
UACGGAGGGUGCGAGCGUUGUCCGGAAUCACUGGGCGUAAAGCGCACGUAGGCGGAUCUUUAAGUCAGAGGUGAAAUCCCAAGGCUCAACCUUGGAACUGCCUUUGAUACUGGGGAUCUUGAGUCCGGGAGAGGUGAGUGGAACUGCGAGUGUAGAGGUGAAAUUCGUAGAUAUUCGCAAGAACACCAGUGGCGAAGGCGGCUCACUGGCCCGGUACUGACGCUGAGGUGCGAAAGCGUGGGGAGCGAACAGG